rnacentral:sRNA from 1 species
UGGGCCCUGAGAAUUGAACCAGGGUCCUUUGGAAGAGCAGCCAGUGCUCUUAACUGUUGAGCCAUGUCUCCAGCCCUGAAUCUAGCUAUGUUCUUACACAUACUAGUCAAAAGCUGUACCACUGAGCCAUAGCCC